UACGUAGGCAGCGAGCGUUGUUCGGAGUUACUGGGCGUAAAGGGUGUGUAGGCGGUUGUUUAAGUUUGGUGUGAAAUCUCCCGGCUCAACUGGGAGGGUGCGCCGAAUACUGAAUGACUUCGAGUGCGGGAGAGGAGAGUGGAAUUCCUGGUGUAGCGGUGAAAUGCGUAGAUAUCAGGAGGAACACCUGCGGUGUAGACGGCUUACUGGACCAUAACUGACGCUGAGGCACGAAAGCGUGGGUAGCAAACAGG
rnacentral:rRNA from 1 species